UGGGGAAUUUUGGACAAUGGGCGAAAGCCUGAUCCAGCAAUGCCGCGUGUGUGAAGAAGGCCUUCGGGUUGUAAAGCACUUUUGUCCGGAAAGAAAUCCUCUGGGUUAAUACCUCGGGGGGAUGACGGUACCGGAAGAAUAAGCACCGGCUAACUACGUGCCAGCAGCCGCGGUAAUACGUAGGGUGCAAGCGUUAAUCGGAAUUACUGGGCGUAAAGCGUGCGCAGGCGGUUUUGUAAGACGGAUGUGAAAUCCCCGGGCUUAACCUGGGAACUGCAUUCGUGACUGCAAGGCUAGAGUAUGGCAGAGGGGGGUAGAAUUCCACGUGUAGCAGUGAGAUGCGUAGAGAUGUGGAGGAAUACCGAUGGCGAAGGCAGCCCCCUGGGCCAAUACUGACGCUCAUGCACGAAAGCGUGGGGAGCAAACAGGAUUAGAUACCCUGGUAGUCCACGCCCUAAACGAUGUCAACUAGUUGUUGGGGAUUCAUUUCCUUAGUAACGUAGCUAACGCGUGAAGUUGACCGCCUGGGGAGUACGGUCGCAA
rnacentral:rRNA from 1 species